rnacentral:rRNA from 1 species
UACGGAGGGUGCAAGCGUUGUCCGGAUUUAUUGGGUUUAAAGGGUGCGUAGGCGGGCAUCUAAGUCAGUGGUGAAAUACUGCGGCUCAACCGUAGGAUUGCCAUUGAUACUGGAUGCCUUGAGUACGCGCGAGGUGGUUGGAAUACGUAGUGUAGCGGUGAAAUGCUUAGAUAUUACGUAGAACACCUAUUGCGAAGGCAGAUCACUAGCGCGGAACUGACGCUGAGGCACGAAAGUGUGGGUAGCGAACAGG